rnacentral:misc_RNA from 1 species
GAUGAAGAACGCAGCGAAAUGCGAUAAUUAAUGUGAAUUGCAGAAUUCAGUGAAUCAUCGAAUCUUUGAACGCACAUUGCGCCCGCCAGUAUUCUGGCGGGCAUGCCUGUCUGAGCGUCAUUUCAACCCUCAUGCCCCUAGGGCGUGGUGUUGGGGAUCGGCCAAAGCCCGCGAGGGACGGCCGGCCCCUAAAUCUAGUGGCGGACCCGUCGUGGCCUCCUCUGCGAAGUAGUGAUAUUCCGCAUCGGAGAGCGAUGAGCCCCUGCCGUUAAACCCCCAACUUUCCAAGGUUGACCUCAGAUCAGGUAGGAAUACCCGCUGAACUUAAGCAUAUCAAUAAGCGGAGGA